rnacentral:rRNA from 1 species
GAUGAACGCUGGCGGCGUGCCUAAUACAUGCAAGUCGAGCGAACAGACGAGGAGCUUGCUCCUCUGACGUUAGCGGCGGACGGGUGAGUAACACGUGGAUAACCUACCUAUAAGACUGGGAUAACUUCGGGAAACCGGAGCUAAUACCGGAUAAUAUAUUGAACCGCAUGGUUCAAUAGUGAAAGACGGUUUUGCUGUCACUUAUAGAUGGAUCCGCGCCGCAUUAGCUAGUUGGUAAGGUAACGGCUUACCAAGGCAACGAUGCGUAGCCGACCUGAGAGGGUGAUCGGCCACACUGGAACUGAGACACGGUCCAGACUCCUACGGGAGGCAGCAGUAGGGAAUCUUCCGCAAUGGGCGAAAGCCUGACGGAGCAACGCCGCGCGAGUGAUGAAGGUCUUCGGAUCGUAAAACUCUGUUAUUAGGGAAGAACAAAUGUGUAGGUAACUAUGCACGUCUUGACGGUACCUAAUCAGAAAGCCACGGCUAACUACGUG